rnacentral:rRNA from 1 species
AAUAGAUACCCCGGUAGUCCACGCUGUAAACGUUGGGAACUAGAUGUAGGGUCCAUUCCACGGAUUCUGUGUCGCAGCUAACGCAUUAAGUUCCCCGCCUGGGGAGUACGGCCGCAAGGCUAAAACUCAAAGGAAUUGACGGGGGCCCGCACAAGCGGCGGAGCAUGCGGAUUAAUUCGAUGCAACGCGAAGAACCUUACCAAGGCUUGACAUAUACCGGAAACGGCUGGAAACAGUCGCCCCGCAAGGUCGGUAUACAGGUGGUGCAUGGUUGUCGUCAGCUCGUGUCGUGAGAUGUUGGGUUAAGUCCCGCAACGAGCACAACCCUCGUUCUUUGUUGCCAGCACGUCAUGGUGGGAACUCAAAGGAGACUGCCGGGGUCAACUCGGAGGAAGGUGGGGAUGACGUCAAAUCAUCAUGCCCCUUAUGUCUUGGGCUUCACGCAUGCUACAAUGGCCGGUACAAAGGGCUGCAAUACCGUAAGGUGGAGCGAAUCCCAAAAAGCCGGUCUCAGUUCGGAUUGAGGUCUGCAACUCGA